ensembl:lncRNA
UUUAUUUCUAGGCUUGCCUCUUAAAAUUAUUUUAUACUUAUACAACCAAAGAAGGAAGACGUGCAGUCAAUUUUCAAAGUUCAAAUUCUGUGUGUCUUUCCAUCAGUUGUCUCGAUUUUCCCCUUCUCCGUUCACUGUCACCUUCUUUCCUUGGGGAAGUAUCCAAAUGGCUUUUCCAAUUCUGUGGGGGCUAAGAAGUCUCACCAGGCCCCCCCUCCCCAUUCUCCUCUAAUUUGUAACUGGCCAGAUUUGAUGCAGUGGCUAAGACUUUGGACCGUGGACGGCUGAAAGGCCCUUUGUUCGUGGAUCACAGGCGGGUGCUCGGUUCUUCUCAUUCAUUAUGCCACCCUCCUUUUUUGACUUGCAAGGUUAAGGCCUGGGGCAAAAUGUUGAUGGAAGAGAAUGCUGUGCACCAACAAACCAACAGCGUUUGUGUUCAUUCCAAUCCACUUUCUCCUCCCUUAGCUGCUGAAGGUUAUGACUACGGCCCCAUUCUCUAGUGACUCACUCCAGGAAAAGGGCAUGUGACAAGAACCUGGCUCUCAUGGGACUGCUUGCCAGUGGUGCCAAGACAGAGAUGGCAUUGUUUGGGGAAGACUCAGGAAGUCAAACAUCCGGAGACAAAGUGUGCAUGGUCAACUCACCCCACAACUCACCCCACAGGCUGGAAGGAAACAUAUUUUUCCCCACUGAUCAGUCUGUGUAUUUGCCUCUGCAAGGGCACGCAGAGGACUUCUGGGAUAGUUAUUCCUUGCAGUCUCAAAAGCAGCUUUCUUGGUGGGUCAGCAAAGGAAGGGACCAGGAUUCCUGGAGGCCAGCUAAAUGCUGUGCGUUUUCCCUCUUGUCACAUUUAGUUCUGUACUCUCCAUGAGGAUCCCAUGGAGAUAAGCAUUAUUCCCAAUCCCAUCUUAUAGAUGAGGAAAUUUAGGCCUAUGGAAGGUAAGGCGUUUGACCAGGCCUGACAGCUACUAAACAGCAGACCCAGGAUUCAAACCUGGGCCUAGGUUGACAUUGAAGUGUAUUUCCAAGGUCAGAAAAGGUCCUCCUUCCCUGGUGCCCAGGCUUCCUCUGAGAUGAUUGCCAUCUGGUAGCAGCUACUGACUGGAAGCUUCUGGAAGCUUUGUCUCUCCACGGUCUCCCAAAUACAUCUUUGUUCUGACCUCUUUCUCCCUAUCUACACCGCAAGACCCUUGCAAAUUCCGCUUUCCCCGUGAAGAUUUCCUCAGCAGGCAGUUCCAAGAUUUGGUCUCUGUUUCUGUCUCUCUCUCUCCCUCGCCCCUCUAAUCCUCUCUGCUUGUGCUCCUUGCUCAGCCCUUACAUAGAGCAUUGCUCAGCUCACAUAAACAUCACAUGCAUAUGUGAACUCCCAGCUGUAUGCUCAGCUCCCCAAGGGCAUGGAUAACAGCAUGACAAACAAUACCGAGUAGUUUCUGGUGAACAUGUACUGAAGGAUUAACUGGUUACCUUUUAGGAGAGGCCACGAGAGUGCCUGUGAUUCUUUUAAGUAGAGAAGCACGGAGAACAUGCUUCAGACAGGUGGUGGACUUCUGUCUACCUGGCCAAGGCUUGCCUCUGCCCCACAGUCUAUAACCCUCUCCCGAUCUUUCUGGGGGUUUCAGAGGAGACCAGCAUUGCCCUGCACUAAGUCCUCCUCAGCACCACCCUCCACGCAGCUCGCUGUCCUCCCCUCCAAGGCGGCCUCCUGCCUUUCCUUCCAGCCAUGCCUGGGGAGUGGAGAGAGCUCUCUGGCCACAUCCAAGGUCGCCCUUCUCCACGGGCAGUGCACUCUCUCCACACAGAAAUGCCAACCUGCACCCAUGGGUCUGCGUAUGAGCCUGCCUGUCUCCCCGACACAGCUGUGAGGGCCCCAAAGGUGUCACGACUUCUUGCCUUCAUUCCUGACGCCUGCUCUGUGAUUGCCUCAGAGCAGGUGGCCAACCAACGUUAAUCAAAGGUAGAAAUGAAUGGCGAAGGAGUCACCAAAUGGUCUUGAUUCUGCUCUAUGAAAAUAGCACAUCAAAUCAAGCUCUCAUUUACAGUUUAGUCUCUUAAAGCAGGCCUCGGCACCAGAGAGAACUUGGAACCAGAGACUACUGUAGGCAUUGCAUGUAGGGGUCGUGAAGUCCAACUGCCUCAUCUCCAAGGUGAGGGCCAAGACAGGGAAGUGACUUGCCCAGGGUCGUACCGUGUGAGUGGCGGACUCCGAUUCUCUGACAAAGGCACCGCCUCAGUUGUGCCUUCACAGUAGUAAUAUGCUUUGCUCCUACAGUACCUCGCAACUCAGCCUUACUUUUCUCCCAGUUAUUUCUUAUUACUGAGCUUUGUACUUGGACUAUGAACCCCGAGCCAGCAUUGAUGAGCCCUCCUUGAAAGAAUGCACACACGCCUGAGGGAAGCGGGGCCCCUGUCAGGUCCUGCUGAGGUCACACAGGCAGCAGCACAGCCAUGCCCAGGAAAAUCCUUCGGAAGGUGGACGGGAUCGAGAUGAUGCAUUGAAGCUCUUCCUUUCUGCCUCCCAGCCUGGCAUGGUGCAGCCCGGCCCUGCCAUCGCCCUCAUCUGCAGAUUGACAGAGGCUGUUCUGCCUGUCCCUGCCAGCAUCAUUCUUGUCCAGCCUAUUAGGCUGCUGUUGUUUUCAGCAAACAGCUGAUGCCUCAUGGAAAAUUUAGCGUUCACUCCCCUACUCCAUCCAUCUUCUACUUUGUACAUUUUCUCUUCUUUAUUAGCAGGGGCACUUACUAGAAAACUAGAUCUCUGUCACUUAGUGGUUUUAUAUGUUCCUUCUGUUCAUAACCCACCUGGAGUCAGAAUUACGUCUCUGUGACAGAACAAUUGGUUGCUAUGGAAAUGACUGUACCACCCCGGGUAGCAGCCUGUGCCAGAGAGAAACAGGAGCGCUGAUCACAUGGAGGGGGGGCGCAGGAAUCCUGAGGGUGACUUUUUGGACAAGUGACUGAUUUCUCUAGGUCAACUUGGUUCCUCUGCUCCGAUUCCUCCCAAUACUGUGUGUGUUUGGGUGUACGUGUGUGUGUGUGUGUGUGUGUACGUCUUCAUUUAUCCACACCCCACCCCUACCACUAGCCACCCCACCAAAAUUUAGAGACCUUCCCCUAUCUUCUCUCUUCUGCCUCCAAACCCAGUUUAGAGCUGGCCUCCUGCAUCUGUGUUUAACCACACCUGGCUAGUCCCUUCUCCAAUCAAAACCCUCCCAAUCCUAGGGAGUUUGCACUUCAUUCAUUUGAAUGGAAUCACUUGCUUUGUUUCUCCUCACUAUUUUUUUUCUUAUCAGGCUCAGACACUUUAUCUUCCCAGCAGAGUCCAGGCCCCCUGUGGGAAGUUUGUUGUACCCUUCCACAGAGCCCACACCAGCUCUGCUGACCACAGGUCCUUGGUAAAAGCUGCUCCCUGACUCUCAGAGAGACCACAGACUCAAUCCCCCAGUCUGUCCAGUUAAAACUGCUCAGUCUUACUUCUUCUUUUUUUUUUUCUUUAAAGAUUUUAUUUUUCCUUUUUUCCCAAAGCCCCCUGGUAUGUAGUUGUGUAAUUUUAGUUAUGGGUCCUUCUAGUUGUGUGUGGGAUGCCACCUCAGCGUGGCUUGAUGAGCGGCGCCAUGUCAGAGCCCAGGAUUCGAACUGGCGAAACUCUGGGCCGCCAAAGCAGAGUGCACGAACUUAACCACUCAGCCAGGGGGCCGGCCCCCUCAGUCUUACUUCCUGAGGAUCAAUAAGCCUGGAGCAAUGGGCAAAUGGGACAGCUUCAAAUAUCAUUACGAACAUUUGACAACCUAAUGAAAGAAAAAAAACUCUAAAGCUUCAGUUGCCUAAAAUACUCUCAGAUGAUAGGGGAAGAAAGAAAAAACGGUGCUUUGCUGUUUAGAAGUGUUUUAUUUUUACGGUAUUAACUUGUUAUGUUUCAAGUUUUUCUUCAGUCUCAUUUGCCUGUCACCUGGGACAAACCCAAGGAAACGUUUAACCCCCGGGCCUGGGACCCCCUCAACACGGCCAGAAACCGUCUUCUGCCUUUUCACGGGAAAGACUAAUCCGUCCUCCAUUCAGUCCCUUGAGAUGGGAGUAAACCAAAAGAGGUUUCAUACUUAGGUUCUGGAAUGAAUUUUAGAGUCCCACCUGUUCAGUAGGCUUUACUCCACACUCGUUUCCACCGAGAAGGUUCUCCCCCAUGAGUUUUCAAGUUGGCAUUUUCAGAGGCCUGGAUGAUGGAGACCAGACUUGCUCCCACAGAGUCAGGUUCGGGCCUAAAACAACCUCAUGAGCUGGAUCACGAGAGCUCAGAAGCCCAACACCAGAAGGGCCCUUAGAGAUGCCCACCCCAGGGCAAUGGUUUUCAAACUGUGAUCCUAGGCACCCUGGGGUUCCACGGAGGAACCUCAGAGACCACAGAGAGGAAAGAACAGAAGCCCACGGGGAGGAGCUUCAGGCCCCUCUCCACCACCACCGCUUCACCCAGGGAGCUCUCUCCACUUCUGCACCUUGUAUUAUCGCUGAAGAGGAGCAGAAUAUGUCACCCAAAAUAUACCACCUUGGUAUAUUGAGUAUUUUGAAUUAAAGGCACUAAGAAACAGUCAGUACAGGAAAGACCCUCUGAGCCUCCUUUGUCCCCCUGAAAGCAGGAGAUAAAUCUGCCACAUGAAAGCUGCCCUCCCCGUACUGGGAGGAAGGGAGCCAUCCUCCUCACCAGAGACAGGCAAUUUAGGGCCGACAAGGCUGUACCACCAAACCUGGUAACCUCUUCACACUUACCACCUCUAGCCCAAACCCCUCUGUCUUGUCAAUUCUCCACAAAUGUAUUGUUUCUUUGUCUAAAAGGUAUAAAAGCUUCCUGCUCUGGGCUCUCCUCCAGGUCUUCAUUCUCUUGUGAAGGCUCCUGUCGAUCUGUCUUUGUCUGUUUACUUUUCAGACCCAGCCAGGGCCACUAAGAGGGUGGAGGAAACUUUUUCUUCCCCUGCACGAUUGCACUAACCCCACUGGUUGCCUGCUUCUCCCCUCGCCAACCCCCAGCCCCAGUCCCUAUUUUCCAUCCGGUGUCCAGAAUGAUUAUUUCAAAACCUAAGGUCAAUGAGGUCACUCUCCAUUUCGAAAGCCCACGUUGGAUUUCCAUUGCACUCACUAUCCGAGAUCCUCACCCGGCCUACAAGUCCCCACGUGUCCUCGUGGGCUGCCCCUGACUGAUCUCCUUCCACACUCCCCCUUGCUCAUCUGCUGACCAGCCACCCUGGCCUUCUUCACGUCCCUGAAGACACCGGGCAGGCUCUCCCCCAACCCCGAGGUGCUCCUGCUCCUUCGGUCUGAAACGCUCUUCCCAGAUACACCCCUCGCUUGCUUCCACUCCUCCUGACCACCUAACAAAGAUGGGGCCCUGUUCCCUCAGCCUCCGCCCCUUCCCCUGCCCUCCUGACUGUCUCCUCUGCUAGAACAGAAGCUCCACGAGGGCAGGCACUUUGUGUCGUUCACAGCAGGCUCCCCAGCACUGAGAACAGAGCGUGGCACGUAGUAGUUGCAGAAUUAAAUAAUUGUUUCCUGAAUGAAUCGGAGUCUAAAAUCACUCUGUACAUUUUCUUCUUUACACAUGUCUAUAUUUUCCAAAUUUCUCUGCAGUAAAUAUCUAUUACUUUUAGUCACAAAAAACAAUAAGUGACAUAGUCUUUUUUCCAGGACCACUCUUGAGAGACCUAGAGUUUCUUUGAAAUGACUUAAGAAGAUGCAAGGAGGCCCUGCGUCAGGAUCUGAGGCAGGGUCUGAGUGGCACCAGGCUCCUCCUGAGCUCCUGGGAGCCAUAACAAUGCCUGGAGGAAUGACUGGCUCCUGAGGGUGGACAGGAGAAUUCAAUGGGGCCAGCAGCCCCUGGUAACCUAACGCCGCCUCUUCUUGCGGUCAGUGCGAGGAGAGUUGGGGCGAGGAGAGGAGUGAAAACAGAGCCACGACCACUGUGACGUAUACCCCGCUCUCCCCUGCCCAAUACACACAGCAACACAGAUGCUGCCAAGGCUCCAGGCUCCAGGCCUCCUGCACAGAAGGCAGUGUUGCAUGGGCCAUGCCUUUGCUGGCACAAGUUGCUGUCCUCAGUUGGGUUUUCCGUUUCUUUUCUUUGGGCACUGUUUCUCUGGGCUGAGUACCUGCUGCCUCUGCUCAUUUGUGAGGCUGAAUCCAGAGCAAAGAAGCAGCAUCUUGGCUCUGGGGCAGGUCUCUGGUCUGACAGACCCCUUAUCUGGUUUGUGUCAGAGGCCCUGCACUCCCCAGGUGGGCAGAAGUCCUGGGCUCUCCCUUGACUCAGUGUUGGUGUUCAUAAGAACUCAGCAGUUCCAGAUGAGGGCACAACCUCACGCGCUAGAGACGAUUCAGGAAACGAAACCUCCUUUUACUUGAUUGCUGGUUCAUUCUCUGAUGGAAUCUUUUCUGAUUCUCUUUCAUAAGGCCCAUCCAAAAUAGACAUCUGAAAAGAGAACAAGAGAGGCCAGCCCCGUGGCCAAGCGGUUAAAGUUCCGCUUGCUCAGCUUUCAUGGCCUGGGUUUACGGGUUCGAUCCUGAGCGCAGACCUCCUCCACUCAUCAGCCAUGCUGUGGCGGCAUCCCGCGCACAAAACAGAGGAAGACUGGCAUGGAAGUUAGCUCAGGGUGAAUCUUCCUCACAAAAAAAAAAGAGAGAGAGAGAGAUCUAGGAGGCCAUGUUCCCCUUCCCCUCCAGCCCCAAAGCCCUGUCACAAGAGUGACUCCGAGUCCUAGGCCCUGGAGCGGGACCGGCCCCAGGGGUCUCCUGGUUCCUGCCUCUUUUAUUGUGUCUUGCCAGACAGGUCCCACCACAUUCAGGAACAGAGCUGCCUGUCUCCUGGGCUAAGACAUGCCUGGGACACUCCAGAGCAGGGGUCAGCCAGGGUCUGUGAAGAGCCAGGUGGCAAAUACUGCAGUCUUUGUGAGCCACAUAUGGUCUGCUCUCUGUGACCUCUUCUUCUUGGUUUGUUUCUUACAACCCUUUAGAAAUGUCAAAACCAUUCUUAGCUCAUAGGCCUCACAAAAACAGGUGUCAGGGUGGGCAAAGGACAGUCCAAGGCCCCAGUUUAGCCCUCUGCCUGUUUCUGUGAACUGCAGUUUGACUCAGGCACAGCCAGGCUUGCUGGUUUUCAUGUUGUCUGUGGCCUCUGUCACUACCAUAGCAGAGCUGAGCGCUUGCCAUGGAGACUCGAAGGCCCACAACGCCUGAGAUGGUCACUCUCUGGCUCUUUGCAGGACACAUUUGCCAAGCCCCGCUCUGAAGUACUAAGACAAAUGACACAGGGGGUCCAGUUUUUUUUCUUUUUAGAAAGAUUUUUUUUUUUAAAGAUUGACACC